GAAAAAUUUGAACACUUCAGAAACGUUGGGAUAAUUUUGUUAACCUGGGUAUAGAUCCCUCAGAGAGAAUCGAAAUGACCUUACUAAAUCAACAAGUAACGCGGUAGAUAUUGGGAAUAAACAUAUUUACUAGGGUAAGGAAGGUUGCAUACCGUAUGCUAAUUCAAAGAUUUAAUUGAUUUAAAUAUUGGAAUUCAAAUUUGCGCAUGUCCCGACUAACAGAACGGUAAAGAGAUCGAGAACGAAGGAGUCGAGAAGAUUAGCUGGUACAAAAUUUUUCGUUGGUUUAUCAAAAGAAGCGAAAUCACAUUCCUGUACCUGUUGAUAUGUAAAGGAAUUUUGGAGGCUGUUCUGGGAAGAAGAUCUGUCAGGCCUCCAUACCUUAUCAUAUCAAUAACGCCGUUUUUACAUAUAAAUUGGUAACACGGAGAUUACUAUUAAUCACAAUAAUUCAUUGGUGCAGUUGGAUAGGAAAUGAUGAAUGAAUAAUUUUCACCUUGGACUUCAAUCAGUUGGAUCCUAAGGUCAGACCAAAUCUAUUUUUUAUUUCAUAUGGAAAUUGUGCAAGGACGUAGGAGAAAUUUCCCCGUGUACCGUUAGAAUUCCAGCAUAUAUCCCUUCCUGGAUUAUUUAACCUUCCCUCCCUGAUGUUGCAAAAGGCGAGCUCUGGAUUAGAAAAGACAAUCCUAACAAAUAUUUAGUUCCCACAUAUACGUACUAUUAUUGUGACCCUUGGGGUCGUUCGAAAGAAAAUAAGUGUUAAUUUUUAAGUGUAAGCCAAGGGUAACGUUACUCCGGGUACCGAAAUUUUUUAUAUAUUAAUUAUUAAUAUACAAUUUAAUAUUCAUUGUGGCAAUAAACCCGCCUUCUCCGAAA